UACGUAGGUCCCGAGCGUUGUCCGGAUUUAUUGGGCGUAAAGCGAGCGCAGGUGGUUUAUUAAGUCUGGUGUAAAAGGCAGUGGCUCAACCAUUGUAUGCAUUGGAAACAGGUAGACUUGAGUGCAGGAGAGGAGAGUGGAAUUCCAUGUGUAGCGGUGAAAUGCGUAGAUAUAUGGAGGAACACCGGUGGCGAAAGCGGCUCUCUGGCCUGUAAUUGACACUGAGGCUCGAAAGCGUGGGGAGCAAACAGG
rnacentral:rRNA from 1 species